rnacentral:tRNA from 1 species
CAGUAAAUAGUUUAGUUAAAAUUUUAAUUUUGGAGAUUAAAGAUGAAUAAGUUUAUUCUUUACUGA